rnacentral:misc_RNA from 1 species
GAAAUGGGUUCCUGUUAAACCACUUCCAAAUGCUUUUAUUGUCAACGUUGGAGACAUCAUGGAGAUUGUGAGCAACUGUAUUUAUCGGAGCAUCGAGCAUAGGGCAACGGUGAAUUCAACAAAGGAGAGGCUUUCCAUUGCAACAUUCUACAGUUCAAAGCUAGGCUCCGAGUUGGGCCCUGCAGCCAGCCUCAUUGGCCCUCACAAUCCAGCAAAAUUUAAGCAAGUCCCAUUGGAGAAGUACUUCAAGGAAUUUUUUGCUCGGAAAUUGAAUGGCAAGUCAUAUCUUGACUUCAUGAGAAUAGAAGAUGGAGAAAACAACACCUGAAUAUACUCGUACAAUAAGCGUGACUUUACGUUCUAUAAUAAAG